AACACAGAAAUUUCGAAUUUUGAUUUGCAGCGGAGAAGUUGGUUUCCUGGGUAAAAAGAGAAGAAGUGAUGAAGAAGAAGAAGAAGAAACGUAUCUGAUUUUGGUUAUGGAAAAUCUUCCCCUGAAAUCUCUCCAGAAUAAGAGGGUAUAUUUGUUUUUUUUUUGUACAGAGGGUAUAUUUGUAAUCUCAUAUAAAAGAUUUUGGGGGACACCGUGUCCCCAUUUUUAUGGGAGUUACCAUAGCCUUCACGAAACUUACCUUCCCACAAAUAAACAAUUUUUUUUAUUGGCAAAUGUAAAUUGUUAGUAAUAUUAGUAAAUUAAUCAUUCUUUAUGGAUUGAAUCCAUG
rnacentral:lncRNA from 1 species